rnacentral:rRNA from 1 species
GUCCACGCCCUAACGAUGUCAACUGGUUGUUGGGAGGGUUUCUUCUCAGUAACGUAGCUAACUCGUGAAGUUGACCGCCUGGGGAGUACGGCCGCAAGGUUGAAACUCAAAGGAAUUGACGGGGACCCGGCACAAGCGGUGGAUGAUGUGGUUUAAUUUCGACGCAACGCGAAAAACCUUAACCUACCCUUGACAUGUCUGGAAUCCUGUAGAGAUGCGGGAGUGCUCGAAAGAGAGCCAGAACACAGGUGCUGCAUGGCCGUCGU